AAAAGGAAAAAAAUUACCCAGGACUCAAUUCAGGAUAGGGGUGGAGAUCCCUCUGCUUUACCUGCUUGUGCUGGGACAAAGCUGCACAUACCACCUUGAUGCUCAGUGAGAAGAUGACCGGGCUGUCAUCCUUCUUACUGCUCCAGAGCACCCAGGAAACACUACUUGCCUACCUGGUGGAUCUGCAUAGCUUCAGAACCUACCUGCCCCUGGACAUCCCCUAAGAGGGAAGAAUUUGCCCAUUUUCCCAGAAGCUAUUUAAUGGGAGGAGAUUGCAGCUUGUUGAGAUGAACACUGCUUGGAGCUCCAAUGGAUAUGCCUCCACUAUACAGACUGAUUGCAAAUCUGCCUCUCUACCCUCAGGUGCCUAUUUCACCAUUUCCUAGAAGCACCCCACUGCAGACACUGGCACUGCACUGCACCUGGAACUGAAAGUUCAACAGAUUCAAAGUGUAUCUGUCAGUGGUGGUUGCUGAUGGAGAUCACUGAAGCAGAUCCUGACUCACUUUCAGACUGUAGGAAGAUCUGAAGCAAAGUUUCAAGAGCACCAGAGCAGAGCUCAGAAGAGAUGAAAUUUCUUCUCCUGGUGAAGAAGCAGCAGGAUUCAGAGCAUUGUGGGGAGGCAAAGGAUGAGGUUUUGAAAUUUGUGGCUUAUUGUGGAUGGCCAGAUGGAUGUGAGAGUAAAGAAGACUGUCUACUCAACAUUUUCACAGAGAAAACUGCCAAGCCAGAAAGUGAAGUCCAUGUAAAUCCAGGAGGGAAAAAGAACAGGAAUGGUCAAAAACGAAGUCCUGUGGCUAUUGGAACAUCAUCAGUUCUGGCUUCUGGAGGCCUGGUCCACCACAUUACAACCAUGGAAGAAGGUGUUUUUAAAGUAAUUAUUUAAAUAGUGUUAAUUAGCUCUAUAAAAAUGAAAAAGCUUUUUUUCUUUUUUUUUUUUCUUUUUUUUUCUUUUUUUUUCCCAUUGAGGAUCAUAAUAGGAUUUAUUUCUAUGAGAAAAAAUAAGGCUUUUUCAUAUUUCUUCAGCUUAUUAAAUUACCUCAUGUUCUUUUAACCCGCAUUAGAUUAAUAGCAAGGGAAAUUUCAAAUACAACUUGAUGUGAUUUAAUAUGUUUUCCCUUCAUCAGCCUGAUUACUUAGAGACCACAUUCCUCAAACUCUUUCCUGCCGUGCCGAUCAUUCAGC
rnacentral:lncRNA from 1 species